AUUAAUCGGAAAUCUCAAUUUUAAUUUUUCAAUUAAUCUCCGUUUUGGUGGUCAAAUACCCCAACGUGCAUCGCCGUAAUUUACUCUCAUAAGGCGAGGGAGGGAAUUGAGGAGUAACCAUACUUGAAUUUGAAUCAAAUUGUGAUCACACAAUCCCCACCCUCCCUUAACCGCCCAUCUAACACUGAAAGCCCUACUUGCUGCCUGAUUCAUAAGCAUUACGUAAAUUUCGCUCACGCCUCCAAGCCCCGUAUGUCCCCGUAACGGUCCUGAGUCGACCGAUGUGGAGCUGUAUCGAUUCGCAUCGUGGGUGUAACGGCAAUCCUGUCCAGAUGUCCAGUCAGCAAGACUGCCAAAAACACGUUGCUGCACUGGAACUGUGCGAAGCUUCCGCCAACAACAACAACGUGGAUUGCCCGUAUAUUACAUAGUAAUAAUAAAAUUACUUACUAGUAUUCACAUCAAUAAUAAUAUCAACAUCGAAAUCCAACGCAGAAUAACUCCGGCAAACAGGUGCUACUUCGGACUGAGUAAGCAAUUAAGAAAUAAAGUCUCUUAUCGACGUACAAAAACCAAACUCUAUAUAGCACUCACGUUACGAGUUUUCGAGAGAAAAGCUCUGCGAAAUAUAUAUUUAUGGUUCUUUGCGCAUUGGCCACGACGAAUAUCGAAUGGAACUAUGAGCUGUAUGAGAUAUACGACUACACUGACAUAGUUCAGCGACCCGUUGGAAAGACCAGGUGGAAAAGGACCUAACUAUGCUUGAAAUCUCCAAUUGGCGCCGCAUUACGAAAUGGAGGAACGACUGGCAUGUUAUAACCGCGUAAGCGGUGUCUACGCCAAUAAAAAAGAAUAGCCAGAUUUCGAUGUUUGUACUUGUAUAUGUAUACGCCAUAUUUUAGUUUUACAAUAUGCUUGUAGGCAAAAGCAUGCUCAGGGAGAUGUAAUGGUGUUUGCUUUAAUGAAUGAAGAGAGUUUGCCUAUUGAAAGUGCGUUUGCGUUCAUGAAUGAAAAUGUUGAUAUUGUGAAUUUACUUGUAAUGCUGCGUAUGCUAUUUGAGGAGAGUUUUGUAGAACAAUGUUUUUAGUUUUUGUAUGGACAAUUCAUACACACAUAUAUACAUAUAGUGAAGCGCGCGCAAUACAAUAAACAAUAUUUCCCCAAAGUUAUAGAUUGAAAUUCGAAAUAGUGAAGGUGUACUUAUGUACAUAUGCGCAUGAUAUAUAUACAUAUCACACUUUGUUAGCUUUUGACAAUUCACACGCCCGUCCGUAGUUGGCUUUCUUUAUAAUUUAUGUUCUCUGGCAAUCGGCCCUGUCGUAGAAUCCGAUUUUCUCGGUAUCGCAUUUCAAUCCGACAGUUUUUUUCGAAGGGUGUCGCACAAUCCGAUCUUAUCGAUUUUCAUGUUCGAAACGCAUUUUUAUAGGUUUAAGGUGUCGCGAAUUCCGGGUUUGUAGGUUUUCUUAUCGGAAACAAAACGAUCAGACGAUCGCCAACGUUUUUAUUUUAUGUGCCAUAUUUACACGAUGUAGCUACUAUUUCUUAUAAAAUGGGAAAACAUAAAAAUAGAGGACAAAAUGAUGUACUGUUGCAGUUUAUGGAGAAGUAUCCCGACAUCGCCAGAGGGUUUACCAAACGAGAAAAGGCGCUUGUGGACUCCCUUUGGCAACAAUUAGCAGAGUCGCUUAACAGCGCAGGCCCGCCAAUAAAGGAUGUGAACGGUUGGAAGAAGAUAUGGACGGACUGGAAAAGCGAAGUGAAAAAGAAGUGGCCCGAGCCACUGGUGGAGGACCAUUUUCUAAGUAUACAUUGAACCAAACGGAGGAAACCAUUGUACGCAUUUGUGGAAUGGCUCAGAGUGUUGGAGGGGUUUCGGGACUAUCAUUUGGUCUCGAGGAAGAAUAUUUAAUAUCAAGCGAUGACGAUAUCCCUUCAACUUCUGCGAUACGUCCCCGUCUUGACACCUCUAUCGCUCAAAAACCUACGCCAAAAGAAACAACAAAUGAGCGGCUAAAAAGUUUCUUGAGUACGACAAAGGAUGGAAGCAGGACAUAUCUAACAAAAUGGAUGCUAUCCUCGAAUUUCAAAAAAUUAGGAGGGAGACAGACAAGGCUUUAGUCAGCGCGGU